rnacentral:lncRNA from 1 species
AAAAAAAAAAAAAAAAUAUAAUUUAUAUAUAUAUACAUAUAUGAACAAAAAGAUAUGAACAAUUCGUGCGAGUAAUAUUAAUUAAAAUGUAGUACAUUUUAUUUUACUUCUUGUAUUUUGUUUUAUUUAUUUUUUCAAGUAAGCAAACGUGUUAGGAAAAAUGGCGUUCAUGUUUAAGCGAGAGGGCAAUUACUGCAAAAACAAGUUACACGAGUCGUUUCAAAAAAACAAAAGUUUUGUUAAUCGUCUUAUGUACGAUGUAACUGCAUUUCACUACGAAAAUUACAUGAAAAAUAAAAUCUAUUCAAAUAUUAUGACUAACUAUAACAAUAUUGAAAAAUUACAGUCUAUGUUGAAUUUAAUAAAUGGUGAUAAAGAAAAUGCUUUUAAAAUUAAAACAGGUAUCUUUUUUUUUUUUUUUUUUUUUUUUUUUUUACUGAUAAAUUUAGAAAAAAUUUAUUGCUAUUUAAUUA